rnacentral:rRNA from 1 species
GAUGAACGCUAGCUACAGGCUUAACACAUGCAAGUCGAGGGACCGGCGCACGGGUGAGUAACACGUAUCCAACCUGCCCUUUACUCGGGGAUCGCCUUUCGAACGCAAGAUUAAUACCCGAUAUCAAGGAUGGGGAUGCGUUCCAUUAGGUUGUUGUUGAGGUAACGGCUCACCAAGCCUUCGAUGGAUAGGGGUUCUGAGAGGAAGGUCCCCAACAUUGGAACUGAGACACGGUCCAAACUCCUACGGGAGGCAGAAGUGAGGAAUAGUGGUAAAUGGGCGCUAGCCUGAAACAGCCAAGUAGCGUGAAGGAUGAAGGGUUAUGGGUCGUAAACUUCUUGUAUAUAAGAAGAUGUAUUAUAUGAAUAAGGAUCGGCUAACUCCGUGACAGCAGCCGCGGUAAUUC